rnacentral:misc_RNA from 1 species
GAAAUGCGAUAAGUAAUGUGAAUUGCAGAAUUCAGUGAAUCAUCGAAUCUUUGAACGCACCUUGCGCUUUCGGGUAACCCCCGGGAGCAUGCCUGUUCGAGUAUCGCAAAGUCUUCACUAUACAGAAUUAGUGUGUUUACUCGUAAACCAUUAGUUUUGCAUUGGUGGAUUUGAGCAUUCUCUCAGUUUAUUUGUUUAAGCUGAGUUGCUUUAAAGUAAUCUUGCUUUUUCUUAGUCAUCUUUAAGACUUGCAAAGCCGAAAAGCGUAACCAAAAGGCUUUUACUAGCUUUUACUUCGCUAACUAGGCUUUACUUAUGCAGUUUUAAACUACAGAUAGCUAUGUAAAAAAUGCAUCAAAACUUACAACCCUUUGCAACGUGGUCUCGAAUCAGGUAAGAC